UACGAAGGGGGCUAGCGUUGUUCGGAAUCACUGGGCGUAAAGGGCGCGUAGGCGGCCGAUCAAGUCGGGGGUGAAAGCCUGUGGCUCAACCACAGAAUUGCCUUCGAUACUGGUUGGCUUGAGACCGGAAGAGGUAAGUGGAACUGCGAGUGUAGAGGUGAAAUUCGUAGAUAUUCGCAAGAGCACCAGUGGCGAAGGCGGCUUACUGGUCCGGUUCUGACGCUGAGGCGCGAAAGCGUGGGGAGCAAACAGG
rnacentral:rRNA from 1 species